GUCUACAGCCAUGCCACCCUGAACAUGCCCAAUCUCGUCUGAUCUCAGAAGCUAAGCAGUGUCGGGGCUGGUUAAUACUUGGAUGAGAGACAGCCUAGGAAUACCAGGUGCUGUAGGUG
rnacentral:rRNA from 1 species